UACGGAGGGUGCGAGCGUUGUCCGGAAUCAUUGGGCGUAAAGGGCGCGUAGGCGGCUUGGUAAGUCAAAGGUGAAAUCCCUCGGCUCAACUGAGGAAUUGCCUUUGAAACUGCCUGGCUCGAGGCCGGGGAGGGGGUAGCGGAAUUCCCAGUGUAGCGGUGAAAUGCGUAGAUAUUGGGAGGAACACCGGUGGCGAAGGCGGCUACCUGGACCGGUUCUGACGCUGAUGCGCGAAAGCGUGGGGAGCAAACAGG
rnacentral:rRNA from 1 species